AUUUUGUGUUUGGACUUUAGGUAGGGUCCUACACCCUAAAUCCCUCCCCAUUUCCCGUUGUUGUCCUCUCUCAUCUCUCAGUCACUCUCUCUCUCUUCCUCAGCUCUUCCUCAGAAACUCUCACUCUCUCUCUUCUUCUCGAACGCACGGGCAACCACCAAAACCACCUAAAACCAUACCAACGUCCAAGUUAAGACUACCAUUUCACCUGGAGGACUCCCACGAUCACGUAGACACCAUUUUCAGGCUAAAACAAGAUCACAGCGAGCUUAGUGAGGUCCCAAGGAAGCUCGAUGCUUCGUUGGAAGUUUUUAGUACAACGGAGAUCGACAAGUUCAAAGUUUGGCCGGAGCUUUCGAGGCGUUUUCCGGCGAAUCCCCGGCGAGUUAGGAGUCGAGUUUCCGGCGACCUCCGAGGCUUUCGAGACAGUUUCCGGCCAAACCACGGCGAACUAGGUAGUUGUGCAAGGCGGCAUCGUCGUGACGCCUUGAUGUGUGGUGCUAGGGAGUUGUUGGCGAAUUCCAGGUGAGUGGGCAGUUUUGUUUUCCGU
rnacentral:lncRNA from 1 species